CGGACGGGUGAGUAACACAUGGGUGACCUACCCUUGGGUGAGGGAUACCGGCGAGAAAUCGCCGACAAGCCCGCAUAGGCUCGAUCUGGUGGAGCGGAGCGAGCAAAGUCUUCUUUCGGGGAGACGCCAGAGGAUGGGCCUGUGGCCGAUUAGCUGGUUGGUGGGGUAAGAGCCCACCAAGGCGACGAUCGGUAGCUGGUCUGAGAGGACGAACAGCCACACUGGGAUUGAGAACGGCCCAGACUCCUACGGGGGGCAGCAGUGAGGAAUUUUCCGCAAUGGGCGAGCAGCCUGACGGAGCAACGCCGCGUGCAGGAGGACGCCUUUCGGAGUGUAAACUGCUUUUCUGUGGGACGAGGAAGGACGGUACCACAGGAAGAAGCCCCGGCUAACUACGUGCCAGCAGCCGCGGUAAUACGUAGGGGGCGAGCGUUGUCCGGAGUUACUGGGCGUAAAGGGCAUGCAGGCGGUCGGGCGCGUUUGGUGUGACAGCGCAGGGCUCAACUCUGCGAGCAUACGAAAGACGGCCUGACUUGAGGGCUCGAGAGGGACACGGAAUUCCGGGUGGAGUGGUGAAAUGCGUAGAGAUCCGGAGGAACACCGAAGGCGAAGGCAGUGUCCUGGCGAGUAUACCUGACGCUGAGGUGCGGAAGCCAGGGGAGCGAACGGGAUUAGAUACCCCGGUAGUCCUGGCCGUAAACGAUGACCACCAGGUGUGGGAGGUAUCGACCCCUUCUGUGCCAAAGGGAACCCAUUAAGUGGUCCGCCUGGGGAGUACGGUCGCAAGAUUAAAACUCGAAGG
rnacentral:rRNA from 1 species